CUCUGCUCAAUGAUUAAUUAAAUAGCCGCAGUACCUUGACUGUGCAAAGGUAGCAUAAUCAAUUGGCUUUUAAUUGGAGUCUAGUAUGAAUGGGGUUUCGGGAAAUAACUAUCUUAAUUAUUUAAAUUGAAAUUACUUAAUAGGUGAAAAUACCUAUAUUUUGAAAUUAGACGAGAAGACCCUAGAAAUUUUUAUAUAUUAUUACUUACUAAUCUAUUUUGUUGGGGCGACAUAACAACAUAUAACUUGUCUAAUCUUUAUAUAACCUUAUUGUAUAUCUUAAUUAAAUUACUCUAGGGAUAACAGCACAAUUCAUUAGAGUUUGUGACCUCGAUGUUGGACUAGGUAAAUUGAUGUUUAGAAGAAGUUAAUUUUAGGCUCUGUUCGAGCUAUUAUUACCU
rnacentral:rRNA from 1 species